CAACAGGGAUUGCCUCAGUAACGGCGAGUGAAGCGGCAACAGCUCAAAUUUGAAAUCUGGCCCUAGGCCCGAGUUGUAAUUUGCAGAGGAUGCUUUUGGUGCGGUGCCUUCCAAGUUCCCUAGAACGGGACGCCAGAGAGGGUGAGAGCCCCGUACAGUUGGACACCAAGCCUUUGUAAAGCUCCUUCGACGAGUCGAGUAGUUUGGGAAUGCUGCUCAAAAUGGGAGGUAUAUUUCUUCUAAAGCUAAAUACCGGCCAGAGACCGAUAGCGCACAAGUAGAGUGAUCGAAAGAUGAAAAGCACUUUGAAAAGAGGGUUAAACAGCACGUGAAAUUGUUAAAAGGGAAGCGCUUGUGACCAGACUUGCGUCCGGUGAAUCACCCAGCUCUCGCGGCUGGGGCACUUCGCCGGCUCAGGCCAGCAUCAGCUCGCUGUCGGGGACAAAAGCUUCGGGAACGUAGCUCUCUUCGGGGAGUGUUAUAGCCUGUUGCAUAAUACCCUUCGGCGGGCUGAGGUACGCGCUCCGCAAGGAUGCUGGCAUAAUGGUCAUCAGCGACCCGUCUUGAAACACGGACCAAGGAGUCAACCUUAUGUGCGAGUGUUCGGGUGUCAAACCCCUACGCGUAAUGAAAGUGAACGCAGGUGAGAGCUUCGGCGCAUCAUCGACCGAUCCUGAUGUUCUCGGAUGGAUUUGAGUAAGAGCAUAUAGGGUUGGACCCGAAAGAAGGUGAACUAUGCGUGUAUAGGGUGAAGCCAGAGGAAACUCUGGUGGAGGCUCGCAGCGGUUCUGACGUGCAAAUCGAUCGUCAAAUAUGCGCAUGGGGGCGAAAGACUAAUCGAA
rnacentral:rRNA from 1 species